AGAGUUUGAUUAUGGCUCAGGAUGAACGCUGGCGGCGUGCUUAACACAUGCAAGUCGAACGAAGCAGCUUCUGCUUGCAAGAAAGUUGACUUAGUGGCGGACGGGUGAGUAACGCGUGGGUAACCUGCCUCAUACAGGGGGAUAACAGUUGGAAACGACUGCUAAGACCGCAUAACCCGCUAGUGUCGCAUGACACGGACGGAAAAUAUUUAUAGGUAUGAGAUGGGCCCGCGUCUGAUUAGCUAGUUGGUAAGGUAACGGCUUACCAAGGCGACGAUCAGUAGCCGACUUGAGAGAGUGAUCGGCCACAUUGGGACUGAGACACGGCCCAAACUCCUACGGGAGGCAGCAGUGGGGAAUAUUGGACAAUGGGGGAAACCCUGAUCCAGCCGACGCCGCGUGAGUGAAGAAGUAUUUCGGUAUGUAAAGCUCUAUCAGCAGGGAAGAUAAUGACAGUACCUGACUAAGAAGCCCCGGCUAACUACGUGCCAGCCGCCGC
rnacentral:rRNA from 1 species